rnacentral:rRNA from 1 species
GACGAACGCUGGCGGCGUGCUUAACACAUGCAAGUCGAACGGUGAAGCACCAGCUUGCUGGAGUGGAUCAGUGGCGAACGGGUGAGUAACACGUGAGCAACCUGCCCCUGACUCUGGAAUAAGCGCUGGAAACGGCGUCUAAUACUGGAUAUGAGAAGGGUCCGCAUGGACACUUUCUGGAAAGUUUUUCGGUUGGGGAUGGGCUCGCGGCCUAUCAGCUUGUUGGUGAGGUAAUGGCUCACCAAGGCGACGACGGGUAGCCGGCCUGAGAGGGCGACCGGCCACACUGGGACUGAGACACGGCCCAGACUCCUACGGGAGGCAGCAGUGGGGAAUAUUGCACAAUGGGCGAAAGCCUGAUGCAGCGACGCCGCGUGAGGGAUGACGGCCUUCGGGUUGUAAACCUCUUUCAGCAGGGAAGAAGCGAAAGUGACGGUACCUGCAGAAGAAGCACCGGCUAACUACGUG